CCUACGGGGGGCAGCAGUGGGGAAUAUUGCACAAUGGGGGAAACCCUGAUGCAGCGACGCCGCGUGAGUGAAGAAGUAUUUCGGUAUGUAAAGCUCUAUCAGCAGGGAAGAAAAUGACGGUACCUGAUUAAGAAGCCCCGGCUAACUACGUGCCAGCAGCCGCGGUAAUACGUCGGGGGCAAGCGUUAUCCGGAUUUACUGGGUGUAAAGGGAGCGUAGACGGCAGCGGAAGUAUGAAGGGAAAUGCCGGGGCUGAACCCCGGAACUGCGUUGGAAACUGUGCAGAUAGAGUGCAGGAGAGGUAAGUGGAAUUCGUGGGGUAGCGGUGAAAUGCGUAGAUAUUAGGAGGAACGCCAGUGGCGAAGGCGGCUUACUGGACUGUAACUGACGUUGAGGCUCGAAAGCGUGGGGAGCAAACAGGAUUAGAUACCCUUGUAGUC
rnacentral:rRNA from 1 species